rnacentral:rRNA from 1 species
CUACGGGGGGCUCCAGUGAGGAAUUUUGCGCAAUGGGGGCAACCCUGACGCAGCAACGCCGCGUGAGUGAAGAAGGCCUUUGGGUCGUAAAGCUCUGUCAACUGGGAAGAAGUUACGAACAUUUAAUAAAUGUUAGUAUUGACGGUACCAGUGGAGGAAGCGCCGGCUAACUCCGUGCCAGCAGCCGCGGUAACACGGGGGGCGCAAGCGUUAUUCGGAAUUAUUGGGCGUAAAGGGCGCGCAGGCGGUUUUGUCAGUCAGGUGUGAAAGCCCGGGGCUCAACCCUGGAAGAGCACUUGAAACAGCAAGACUUGAAUACGGGAGAGGAGAGAGGAAUUCCUGGUGUAGAGGUGAAAUUCGUAGAUAUCAGGAGGAACACCGAUGGCGAAGGCAUCUCUCUGGACCGAUAUUGACGCUGAGGCGCGAAGGCGUGGGUAGCGAACGGGAUUAGAUACCCUGGUAGUC